AGGGGUAUAGCUCAAUGGUAGAGGGUGUGCUUAGGAUGCAUGGCGUCCUAGGUGCAAUCCCCAGUACCUCCA
rnacentral:tRNA from 1 species